rnacentral:rRNA from 1 species
GAACGAGUUCUCGUUGAUGAUCGGUGCUUGCACUGAGAUUCAACAUGGAACGAGUGGCGGACGGGUGAGUAACACGUGGGUAACCUGCCCUUAAGUGGGGGAUAACAUUUGGAAACAGAUGCUAAUACCGCAUAGAUCCAAGAACCGCAUGGUUCUUGGCUGAAAGAUGGCGUAAGCUAUCGCUUUUGGAUGGACCCGCGGCGUAUUAGCUAGUUGGUGAGGUAAUGGCUCACCAAGGCGAUGAUACGUAGCCGAACUGAGAGGUUGAUCGGCCACAUUGGGACUGAGACACGGCCCAAACUCCUACGGGAGGCAGCAGUAGGGAAUCUUCCACAAUGGACGCAAGUCUGAUGGAGCAACGCCGCGUGAGUGAAGAAGGCUUUCGGGUCGUAAAACUCUGUUGUUGGAGAAGAAUGGUCGGCAGAGUAACUGUUGUCGGCGUGACGGUAUCCAACCAGAAAGCCACGGCUAACUACGUGCCUGCAGCCGCGGUAAUACGUAGGUGGCAAGCGUUAUCCGGAUUUAUUGGGCGUAAAGCGAGCGCAGGCGGUUUUUUAAGUCUGAUGUGAAAGCCCUCGGCUUAACCGAGGAAGCGCAUCGGAAACUGGGAAACUUGAGUGCAGAAGAGGACAGUGGAACUCCAUGUGUAGCGGUGAAAUGCGUAGAUAUAUGGAAGAACACCAGUGGCGAAGGCGGCUGUCUGGUCUGUAACUGACGCUGAGGCUCGAAAGCAUGGGUAGCGAACAGGAUUAGAUACCCUGGUAGUCCAUGCCGUAAACGAUGAAUGCUAGGUGUUGGAGGGUUUCCGCCCUUCAGUGCCGCAGCUAACGCAUUAAGCA